CAUGCAAGUCGAACGCGUUGGCCCAAUUGAUUGAUGGUGCUUGCACCUGAUUGAUUUUGGUCGCCAACGAGUGGCGGACGGGUGAGUAACACGUAGGUAACCUGCCCAGAAGCGGGGGACAACAUUUGGAAACAGAUGCUAAUACCGCAUAACAGCGUUGUUCGCAUGAACAACGCUUAAAAGAUGGCUUCUCGCUAUCACUUCUGGAUGGACCUGCGGUGCAUUAGCUUGUUGGUGGGGUAACGGCCUACCAAGGCGAUGAUGCAUAGCCGAGUUGAGAGACUGAUCGGCCACAAUGGGACUGAGACACGGCCCAUACUCCUACGGGAGGCAGCAGUAGGGAAUCUUCCACAAUGGGCGCAAGCCUGAUGGAGCAACACCGCGUGAGUGAAGAAGGGUUUCGGCUCGUAAAGCUCUGUUGUUAAAGAAGAACACGUAUGAGAGUAACUGUUCAUACGUUGACGGUAUUUAACCAGAAAGUCACGGCUAACUACGUGCCAGCAGCCGCGGUAAUACGUAGGUGGCAAGCGUUAUCCGGAUUUAUUGGGCGUAAAGAGAGUGCAGGCGGUUUUCUAAGUCUGAUGUGAAAGCCUUCGGCUUAACCGGAGAAGUGCAUCGGAAACUGGAUAACUUGAGUGCAGAAGAGGGUAGUGGAACUCCAUGUGUAGCGGUGGAAUGCGUAGAUAUAUGGAAGAACACCAGUGGCGAAGGCGGCUACCUGGUCUGCAACUGACGCUGAGACUCGAAAGCAUGGGUAGCGAACAGGAUUAGAUACCCUGGUAGUCCAUGCCGUAAACGAUGAGUGCUAGGUGUUGGAGGGUUUCCGCCCUUCAGUGCCGGAGCUAACGCAUUAAGCACUCCGCCUGGGGAGUACGACCGCAAGGUUGAAACUCAAAGGAAUUGACGGGGGCCCGCACAAGCGGUGGAGCAUGUGGUUUAAUUCGAAGCUACGCGAAGAACCUUACCAGGUCUUGACAUCUUGCGCCAACCCUAGAGAUAGGGCGUUUCCUUCGGGAACGCAAUGACAGGUGGUGCAUGGUCGUCGUCAGCUCGUGUCGUGAGAUGUUGGGUUAAGUCCCGCAACGAGCGCAACCCUUGUUACUAGUUGCCAGCAUUAAGUUGGGCACUCUAGUGAGACUGCCGGUGACAAACCGGAGGAAGGUGGGGACGACGUCAGAUCAUCAUGCCCCUUAUGACCUGGGCUACACACGUGCUACAAUGGACGGUACAACGAGUCGCGAACUCGCGAGGGCAAGCAAAUCUCUUAAAACCGUUCUCAGUUCGGACUGCAGGCUGCAACUCGCCUGCACGAAGUCGGAAUCGCUAGUAAUCGCGGAUCAGCAUGCCGCGGUGAAUACGUUCCCGGGCCUUGUACACACCGCCCGUCACACCAUGAGAGUUUGUAACACCCAAAGUCGGUGGGGUAACCUUUUAGGAGCCAGCCGCC
rnacentral:rRNA from 1 species